CCCUCAGUGUGCGUCCCCACCUCUGGAGGCCUUGGCAUAGCCCCCACCAUUGCCAGCUGCCGCAGAAGGGCCGAUGCCCCCGCUGGUGCCACGUGCGGGGGCCCCAGGAGCGUGCACGGCGCUGAGAAGCCAGGGAGCCACGGAUUCUUUUUCUGACGAUUCAUCAAGGACGUGUUUCUGGGUCAGCGUGUCUGGGUGGAACCUUCACUUUCAGUAUCAGCUGCUGAGUGUCCCCUGGGUCCACGAGCCAGGACCCAGGCAGCCGGCAGCACCGCUGUGACCGUCCUUGUCCUCGUAGCCUCACGGUGGUCACGUGAUCACGUCUGUCGCUCGAUUGUGAGUCGGGGGCCGCUGAGCCGCAGAGCGCAUCGACUUAAGCAUGAAAUAGGUGCCUGCGAAAAGGCCGUGUCGCGCUGCAGUCACACCGGCUCCGUGUGCAUCCCUUGCCGUGGGCGUCAUUCGACGUCAGGAAGUUUUGCCAGUCUGGCAGGUGGGCUUCUGCCCCGAGUGCCGUGUAAGGGCUUGUGAGUGAGGUCGACUGUCCUGCGGGCUCGUCAGGCACUUGGGUUUCUCGCGUGAUGUCCAGAGUGCGUGCUUAGCCUGCCGUUGCUUGUCCUCUUACGGUUUGGGAGACCCUGUGUGUGUUAAAGGAACGGGGCUCCCCAUGGGGUGCCCUUGGCAAAUCUCUCCCGGUGUCUUGGUUUUGACGUCUUCGCUGCACUCGCGCGUCCUCGUGUUUCCUGUGGUUGAAUCUCAUUGCUCCUUUGUGGCUUCUGGGUUUCAGGUUUUAGGAGCACGUUCUCUGUCUUCAUCCAAGGAAAGCAGUUGCUGCAUCUUCUUCUGAUAUUGUCACUGAUUGGACCUCCUCGUUCAGGCGUCCGGCCACGUGGCGUUUACGAGGUGGCAGGAGGCAGUGGGGCGGAGUCCCCCCCGUGCCUUUUGUUAAAUACUCUGUCUUCCCCUGGCAGCUCAAGUGCCACUUGGAUAACAGGACACAUUUACACACGUGUGUGCAUGUUUCUGGCCUGCUGCCCUGGGGCUGCUCGAUUCCAGCCUAGUUUCAGCAACUGGGGAGGCUCCUCUUACUGAAAGAUUCUUGCAGCUUCUCACGGGGUCUUUUUACAGCAGUUAAUACAGUGGGUUCCCUCGCUCUGUGUCCUGGUGGGGCUUUGACACACGCCAGUCGGAUUCAAACGGCCAGUAUUCGGCUGCGACCCCUGCGCCCCGUGACAGCUGCGUCGGAUUCAUGCGUGAGGCUUGUCACUCGCUUGCCUUUAUCUUGUCAGAGGUGAGCUCCCGAUUCGGCAGCGUCAGGGGACAGACGGGUGCUUUCCCACCGCCCACACCCUGGAGCCGUUGGCUCCUGGGGGUCCCUGGCGUUCACUUCCCCGGCGCCCCCUCAGAGGGGCUGGGGGCCCUGCCGCGCUGGCCCCGGGGAGCUGCGGGAUGCUGGUGCCCUGAGCCCCUCCCUCAGCCCCUGCCUGGCCUGACCGUCUCUGAGCACCCGGGCUUCUUCUCCCCACUUGCCUGGGCGCAGCCCAGUCAGGGGUCUCCCUUACACUCUGGACCCCUGGGGAAGCAGAGUGGCAAGCUGUAAGACACAGAGCCCCCAGCUCUGCGCAGGAUCCCCCGGAAGUGCCUGGAGGGGAGAGGCCUCCUUGCUGUGUGAUUUGGGCUAAGUUCUGCUUCUCCUCUGAGCCUCUUUCUGUAUCUGUGAGCUGGGGACACACUCGGCUCGCAGGGGGGUGUCUCUCCCACUCCUCCAGCCCCCCGCCUGGGUGCUCCUGUCACCUCUGCCCUCCUGGGGUCCCAGGGACAGCUGCCAGCACAGCCAGCUCUGCACACGGCAGGUGUUGACUGGUGGGGAAGAGCUGGGCCUGGCAGGACCCCAGGGUGCCCCCACUCCUCAUGCUCUGUAGGAGAGACCUUUAUGCGGGACGUUUCCAGGCAUCUCCCACCUUCUCCCCAUGUUAAGGGCCUCAGGUAGCCUGGGGGGGAACCCCCCCCCCCGAGGUGGGUAAGGAAGCAAGUGGGUGUGAGCAGCCCCCUCUUUCCUUCGAGCUUCCUGGGCUGCGUGGGGCUCGGGGCUGCAGUUCUGAAACCCAGCAGAACGCCUUCAGAGGAGGGUUCUAGAAGUCCCGCUGUCACUUGUUUCAGGAAUCUGCCCACCACGGCCCACGAGAAGCCACUGGUGCCCACCAUGGAUCAGAGGGGGAGCUGCGGGUUUUGUGUGCUUGUUUAUUUACUGCACUACUUUGGGGGCCAAGGGCUAGGCCCUAGGCCUGGGGGACAGAGCCGGGGGAGGGGGUGGAUGGACCAGUCGCCCUGGGUCCUGCCCCCGGGGAGGGUGCCAGGAGGGACCGAUCCCUCUUUGGUUGCAACAAAGUGGCCCGAGUGAGGCGGGGUUGGCGUUGAGGGCUGCAGAGCUGGGCUGGGUCUUCCUCCAUGCACCACCAGCUGAGACUACCUUUGAGAGGCGCCAAUUUGCUGAACGAAUGAAUGAGUCACAUAAAAAAUGAGUGAAAGCUGGGAGAAGUCAAGAACCUUGAGCUGGGACACAGGUUUGACCCCCGGCCUGGCACAGUGGGUUAAGGAUCCAGUGCGACUCCAGGAAAUCCGUGUGCCCCUGGAAGGCCAAAAAAAAAAAAAAAAAAAAAAAAAANAAAAA
rnacentral:lncRNA from 1 species